CCUACGGGGGGCUGCAGUCGAGAAUCUUCGGCAAUGGGCGCAAGCCUGACCGAGCGACGCCGCGUGGAGGAUGAAGGCCUUCGGGUUGUAAACUCCUGUCGAGGGGGAGGAAGGGGAGACCUUGACCGAUCCCUGGAGGAAGCACGGGCUAAGUUCGUGCCAGCAGCCGCGGUAAGACGAACCGUGCGAACGUUAUUCGGAAUCACUGGGCUUAAAGCGCGUGUAGGCGGGCGGGUACGUCGGCGACUGAAAGCCCCCGGCUCAACCGGGGAAGGGGUGCCGAAACGGCCGGCCUGGAGGGGCGUAGGGGGACCUGGAACUUCCGGUGGAGCGGUGAAAUGCGUUGAGAUCGGAAGGAACGCCCGUGGCGAAAGCGAGGUCCUGGACGCCAUCUGACGCUGAGACGCGAAAGCCAGGGGAGCGAACGGGAUUAGAUACCC
rnacentral:rRNA from 1 species